ACCCAACUGAUGAGUCCCAAAUAGGACGAAACGCGCGUCGUGGAU
rnacentral:hammerhead_ribozyme from 1 species